AACGAACGCUGGCGGCAGGCCUAAUACAUGUAAGUCGAACGCACCGCAAGGUGAGUGGCAGACGGGUGAGUGACGCGUGGGAACCUUCCUAGUAGUACGGAAUAACUCCGGGAAACCGGUGCUAAUACCGUAUAAGCCCUCCGGGGGAAGAUUAUCGCUACUAGAUGGGCCGCGUCGGAUUAGCUUGUUGGUGAGGUAAUGGCUCACCAAGGCUUCGAUCCGUAGCUGGUCUGAGAGGAUGAUCAGCCACACUGGGACUGAGACACGGCCAGACUCCUACGGGAGGCAGCAGUAGGGAAUAUUGGACAAUGGGCGAAAGCCUGAUCCAGCCAUGCCGCGUGAGUGAAGAAGGCCUUAGGG
rnacentral:rRNA from 1 species